rnacentral:rRNA from 1 species
GAUGAACGCUGGCGGCGUGCCUAAUACAUGCAAGUCGAGCGAACGGACGAGAAUCUUGCUUCUCUGAUGUUAGCGGCGGACGGGUGAGUAACACGUGGAUAACCUACCUUUAAUACUGGGAUAACUUCGGGAAACCGGAUCUAAUACCGUAUUAUAUUUUGAACCGCAUGGUUCUAAAGUGAAAGACUGUCUUGCUGUCACUUAUAGAUGGAUCCGCGCUGCAUUAGCUAGUUGGUAAGGUAACGGCUUACCAAGGCAACGAUGCAUAGCCGACCUGAGAGGGUGAUCGGCCACACUGGAACUGAGAAACGGUCAAGACUCCUACGGGAGGCAGCAGUAGGGAAUCUUCGGAAAUGGGCGAAAGCCUGACGGAGCAACGCCGCGUGAGUGAUGAAGGUAUUCGGAUCGUAAAACUCUGUUAUUAGGGAAGAAAAUAUGUGUAAGUAACUGUGCACAUCGUGACGGUACCUAAUAAGAAAGCCACGGCUAACUACGUG